rnacentral:lncRNA from 1 species
AGAAAACCCAUCCCAGACACCUACAUUCACAAAAUCCCUGAAAGACGCUGUUCUAUCAAUCUCAUUUUCCUGAUGAGAAAAUUGAGCCUCAGAGAUCAAGCAAUGUCCCCAAAGACAUACAGCUGGAAAACACUGAGAAGCAGCCUUAAGGAACAACACAGUGGUGAUAUCAAGGGACUUGAAAUUAUGUCACGUGCUAUCGGCAACCAAUAUAUGAUGUUUGGAUUGAGAACUAUGAUCAAAGUGAAGCAGUGGAACUUUGCAGUUAAUCAAACAGGAAUUUUGAACCAAAAACCCACAAAUGUGUUUCAACACACUUGAGCUACGUAAUCUUGGCAGGAGGAAGCAUUCCCAUGUGAAAGAUGAGCUCCCUAUAAAAGCAACGCUCUUAUCAUCGAGAACAGAAAGUUGAAGCCAAGAGAGAGCUCCACAAGCUGACCUUGUUAAACUAACCCUUAUCUUCUUAGUCGCUUCUUUACCCAAUUAACUACCCUAGCCGAAGCCCCUUUGCCUUAUUACAUUUUGCAACAGUGUUCGUUGUCCAAUUCAGUAUACAAGUGAGUGACUCUGGAUGCUUUUUGGGGUCUUCGUUUCCUUAUGAGGGCUUCUGUGCCAUGUAAAACUUGUAUUAAAUAAAUUUGUAUGCUUUUCUCCUGUUAAUCUGUCUAUAUCGAUUGAACUUUAGGGUCCAGUCAGAACCCAAAGAGGAUGGAGGUGGAGUUUUGGCUCCUCUACAGCUAUCUGAAUAAUCAAAAUUCAAGAUAUUCCAUGUUCUUUCUGAGUUUCUUUGAAAUUAAAAAUGCAGACAACCACUCAACUAAUACGUCAGCGAGAUACGUUUUCUGUCCUUAUUGCCUUACUGAUGAAAUUGCCUUUAUUCAUAAAAAAUAAAUGUGGGAGUCUUGUUUAUUUAUUUCUAAUGACAUUAACUUGACAUUAACCUUGGUGCUCUUGGGAACCAUAAAUGGGCCCUGUACUACUUGUUACAGAGUAUAAAUUCCCAGAACUACAAGUACAUCAUAUUCCUCAAGUUACUGAAGAAUUUCAUGAUCCAUGUGUCAGGCCUCUGAGCCCAAGCUAAGUC